GGGUUGUGAGGUUAAGCGACUAAGCGUACACGGUGGAUGCCCUGGCAGUCAGAGGCGAUGAAGGGCGUGCUAAUCUGCGAUAAGCGCCGGUAAGGUGAUAUGAACCGUUAUAACCGGCGAUACCCGAAUGGGGAAACCCAGUGUGAUUCGUCACACUAUCAUUAACUGAAUCCAUAGGUUAAUGAGGCGAACCGGGGGAACUGAAACAUCUAAGUACCCCGAGGAAAAGAAAUCAACCGAGAUUCCCCCAGUAGCGGCGAGCGAACGGGGAGGAGCCCAGAGCCUGAAUCAGCAUGUGUGUUAGUGGAAGCGUCUGGAAAGGCGCGCGAUACAGGGUGACAGCCCCGUACACAAAAGCGCAUGUGCUGUGAGCUCGAUGAGUAGGGCGGGACACGUGGUAUCCUGUCUGAAUAUGGGGGGACCAUCCUCCAAGGCUAAAUACUCCUGACUGACCGAUAGUGAACCAGUACCGUGAGGGAAAGGCGAAAAGAACCCCGGCGAGGGGAGUGAAAAAGAACCUGAAACCGUGUACGUACAAGCAGUGGGAGCCCCACCACUAAGCCAGUGGUGAACUCCACAUACGCAUCCUUUGCUGAGGAUACGGUUAACGGAGCGAAAGCGACGUUCAACCGCAAAAGAAGCAGAGGGGGCUUAGUGGUGG
rnacentral:rRNA from 1 species